rnacentral:misc_RNA from 1 species
UUGGAAAUUAAGAUAAUGACAUAGUGGUUAAGCAAUUGUAGUUGAAAAUGGGCAUGAGCCAUCCAUCUAAGUUAUUGAAGUUUGUAAGGUUGUUGCCAAGUCUUUGUUGCAGUAACGGUCAACAACUAGGGAUGCCUAAAUUAAAAGAAUAAUUGCGAUUAUGUUCAUUAUAUUAUCUUAAAUGCUCGUCUCAGUGUUUCUUUGGCCUUGAAUAGGAUUCCUUACAUGGCCACUGUCACUCACUGAGAUGAAAGUCCAUCAAAUCUGUGCGGAAGUUGAGCCGAAAUGUUAUUUGUAUGUUAGCAAUUUUGGGUGAAUUUCUAAAUUAAAUUGACGUACUACCUGGAAGGUGCUAGAUAUUGCCU